rnacentral:snRNA from 1 species
AUCUUUUGGCUAAGAUCAAAGUGUAGUCUCUGUUUCUUAUCAGCUUAAUCUCUGGUACGGUCUCCAUAGGAGACCCAGAAGAUUAAAAUUUGAGUAGUAUAGUUUGGCUACAUCACUGUUGUGUAAAUUGGCUUCACAGGUUUGACAAAAUUAUAUUUAAAUUU